GCUGAUGUAGCUCAGUUGGUAGAGCAACUGAUUCGUAAUCAGGGGGUGGCGGGUUCAAGUCCUGCAGCCAGCACCA
rnacentral:tRNA from 2 species